rnacentral:rRNA from 1 species
UACGUAGGGUGCGAGCGUUGUCCGGAAUUACUGGGCGUAAAGAGCUCGUAGGUGGUUUGUCGCGUUGUUCGUGAAAACUCACAGCUUAACUGUGGGCGUGCGGGCGAUACGGGCAGACUGGAGUACUGCAGGGGAGACUGGAAUUCCUGGUGUAGCGGUGGAAUGCGCAGAUAUCAGGAGGAACACCGGUGGCGAAGGCGGGUCUCUGGGCAGUAACUGACGCUGGAGGAGCGAAAGCCGUGGGGAGCGAACAGG